rnacentral:rRNA from 1 species
AUUGAACGCUGGCGGCAUGCUUUACACAUGCAAGUCGAACGGCAGCGCGGGCUUCGGCCUGGCGGCGCGUGGCGAACGGGUGAGUAAUGCAUCGGAACGUGCCCAGUCGUGGGGGAUAGCCUGGCGAAAGCCGGCUUAAUCCCGCACACGACCUGAGGGUGAACGCGGGGGAUCGAAAGGCCUCGCGCUAUUGGCGCGGCCGAUGUCGGAUUAGCUAGUUGGUGUGGUAAAGGCUUACCAAGGCGACGAUCCGUAGCUGGUCUGAGAGGACGACCAGCCACACUGGGACUGAGACACGGCCCAGACUCCUACGGGAGGCAGCAGUGGGGAAUUUUGGACAAUGGGGGCAACCCUGAUCCAGCCAUGCCGCGUGCGGGAAGAAGGCCUUCGGGUUGUAAACCGCUUUUAUUCGGGAAGAAAUCCUCUGGGCUAAUACCCCGGGGGGAUGACGGUACCGGAAGAAUAAGCACCGGCUAACUACGUG